UCAGGCCUAACACAUGCAAGUCGAACGGUCUUGUUCUGCAAGACAGUGACGGACGGGUGAGUAAUAUGUAAGAAUCAACAUUUGGGUGGGGGACAACACUUGGAAACGAUUGCUAAUACCCCAUAAUGCUUUUAAGCUAAAGAUUUAUUGCCCAGAUAUGAGCUUGCAUCUGAUUAGCUUGUUGGUGAGGUAAUGGCUUACCAAGGCGAUGAUCAGUAGCUGUUUUGAGAAGAUGAUCAGCCACACGGGAAUUGAGAACGGGACCGACUCCUACGGGAGGCAGCAGUGAGGAAUUUUCCGCAAUGGGUGAAAGCCUGACGGAGCAAUGCCGCGUGGAGGAAGAAGGCCUUAGGGUUGUAAUCUCCUUUUCUCAUUGAAGAAGUUCUGACG
rnacentral:rRNA from 1 species